GUCCUGGUCGGAAACCAGGACGCGAUUCCAGAGGAG
rfam:Collinsella sp. CAG:289 genomic scaffold, scf52